AGAGGUUAUUAGAGGUUUCCAUCCCACUCCCCACUCUCUCUUCAACCUCUCCCCCUACCCAUUAUAAAUCCCCAUCCCCCACGCCCCGCUUUCUCCUCCGCAACCACCUAAGCCACCCAUUAUAACCCUCCACCCCCACCAUCGCCAGGUUUUCUUUCUCCUCUGUACACAAAUUGGAUGAAUCAUCUCACUAGAUCCAAUCAUCGGCUUUCAAAAUUCUAACAUUGGAUCUUCUUCUAAGCUUCCCACAACCCACUCUAGAAAUUGGCGAUUCAUCCCUAAUCAGUCAUCGUCUCCCUCUCGUGAUUUAAGGGCUUUUCGAAUCGGACCAAGUCGUUCUUAGUGCCGCUGAGCUCCGUCACAUUACUGAUCUUCAAUUCGAUUCAUCCAGUGCCAAAAUUACUGCAAUAAGAUUGAGUGGAACAUCAGAGAAGGCUUACAUUAGAUCUUAUAACGUGAAGCGGAACAGAAUCGGUGUCAAGAACAAGGCUAUUUAAUUUGGAUUUGUACAUGUAAUUUGGGUGAAAGAGAAGUUAAAAAUCUUGACACUUCUAAAACUUUGUCUAGCCUUGGUCCAAAUGCUAUCUUCA